AAAAGAAGAUUUGUUUAAUUUUGUGUGUGGGGUUUUUUUUUUUAUAUUAUAAUUAUUUUUUUUUUUUUUUUAUAAAAUUGCAAUUUCUUGUGCCAUUUUGUUUUUUUUUCAAAUGCCAGAAUUGAUGGUGCUGUGUUUGAAUAAAGUGGUGUAUUGAGUAGGAUUAAAUGAUUAAUUGAAAUUUUUAAUUACCAACUCUAAAUUGAUAUACCUUGUGUGCUAGUCUUCUUUAUGGUUUUUUUUUUAAAAUGAGCCAUUAUCUUUACCUUUUUCAUGUAAACCAUGUUUAGUGCAUGAUACAGGUGCCAUUUAGUUUACGGGGUUUCCCAGUGUUUAAGUUUCAAUGUUUUACAUGUCAAGUGCUCAUUCUCUCCAACUCGUCAUAGUAAAAACAUCUGUCUUGUAUUGUGUGCCAGGAUUAUUUGUUUUACUGGAUGUAUACAUUUUACUCCGAGUGCCCUAGUUUUCAGACAGUCUGAUGAAGAAUUAUUAGUUAGUGAUCUGAGCUCUCUAUCCCUCCUUUUUUGUAUUGUGUAUAUUUUGUUUUGCAUGUAUAAUGUCUAAUAUCUAUAAGUUUAAAAUGCUGGAAAAUUACACUAAAAAAUCCAUAUUUGUUUAUUUUGAUUAUCUGAAAAUGACUCAUACAUGUACCACAAUAACAAAAAGAUAUGUAUAAAGAAUGGGAAAAACCAUAAAAAGGUUAUGGUAAUAUAGGCAACAUUUUUGAAGUAAUAGAAUGAACUAUUUUUGUGUAGAAAUUGAGCUUAAUUCUAGUAUGCAUAGCCUGUUUUUGAUUAUUUUUAGACAUAGAGAAUAUUUAACAUGUUUUGGAAAGUUCAUGAAAUACUACCAUGGUGUAAAUUUUUUUUACUAUAUAUAAUUUGUGUGAUUUUAUGAAUAAAAUCUCAAUCUACCAGUC
rnacentral:sRNA from 1 species